rnacentral:rRNA from 1 species
GAUGAACGCUGGCGGCGUGCCUAAUACAUGCAAGUCGAGCGAACGGACGAGAAGCUUGCUUUUCUGAUGUUAGCGGCGGACGGGUGAGUAACACGUGGAUAACCUACCUAUAAGACUGGGAUAACUUCGGGAAACCGGAGCUAAUACCGGAUAAUAUUUUGAACCGCAUGGUUCAAAAGUGAAAGACGGUCUUGCUGUCACUUAUAGAUGGAUCCGCGCUGCAUUAGCUAGUUGGUAAGGUAACGGCUUACCAAGGCAACGAUGCAUAGCCGACCUGAGAGGGUGAUCGGCCACACUGGAACUGAGACACGGUCCAGACUCCUACGGGAGGCAGCAGUUGGGAAUCUUCCGCAAUGGGCGAAAGCCUGACGGUGCAACGCCGCGUGAGUGAUGAAGGUCUUCGGAUCGUAAAACUCUGUUAUUAGGGAAGAACAUAUGUGUAAGUAACUGUGCACAUCUUGACGGUACCUAAUCAGAAAGCCACGGCUAACUACGUG